rnacentral:tRNA from 1 species
GCCUUCGUGGUGUAGUGGUCUGCAUGUUCGACGCGCAACCGAGAGGUCCGUGGUUCGAUUCCUGGCGAAGGCG